rnacentral:rRNA from 1 species
AACGAACGCUGGCGGCAUGCCUAACACAUGCAAGUCGAACGAGACCUUCGGGUCUAGUGGCGCACGGGUGCGUAACGCGUGGGAACCUGCCCUUAGGUUCGGAAUAACUCCCCGAAAGGGGUGCUAAUACCGGAAAAUGUCUUCGGACAAAGGAUUUAUCGCCUUUGGAUGGGCCGGCGUUGGAUUAGCUAGUUGGUAGGGUAAAAGCCUACCAAGGCGACGAUCCAUAGCUGGUCUGAGAGGAUGAUCAGCCACACUGGGACUGAGACACGGCCCAGACUCCUACGGGAGGCAGCAGUGGGGAAUAUUGGACAAUGGGCGAAAGCCUGAUCCAGCAAUGCCGCGUGAGUGAUGAAGGCCUUAGGGUUGUAAAGCUCUUUUACCCGGGAUGAUAAUGACAGUACCGGGAGAAUAAGCUCCGGCUAACUCCGUG